rnacentral:tRNA from 1 species
AGUAAUAUAAGCUAAUUAAGCUAUUGAGUUCAUACCUCAAAAAUACCUCGAUGUUAUUACUA